UAUAUACUCCCUCCGUCCAAAAAUUCUUAUCUUAGGUUUGUCUAGAAAUGGUUGUAUCUAACUAGAUACAUUCAUUUCUACACAAAUCUAAGACAAGAAUUUUGGGACGGAGGGAGUAUAUA
rfam:Hordeum vulgare subsp. vulgare, WGS project CAJW01000000 data, contig: morex_contig_115255